rnacentral:rRNA from 1 species
AGAGCGAACGCUGGCGGCAGGCUUAACACAUGCAAGUCGAGCGGGCGUAGCAAUACGUCAGCGGCAGACGGGUGAGUAACGCGUGGGAACAUACCUUUUGGUUCGGAACAACACAGGGAAACUUGUGCUAAUACCGGAUAAGCCCUUACGGGGAAAGAUUUAUCGCCGAAAGAUUGGCCCGCGUCUGAUUAGCUAGUUGGUGAGGUAACGGCUCACCAAGGCGACGAUCAGUAGCUGGUCUGAGAGGAUGAUCAGCCACAUUGGGACUGAGACACGGCCCAAACUCCUACGGGAGGCAGCAGUGGGAAUAUUGGACAAUGGGCGCAAGCCUGAUCCAGCCAUGCCGCGUGAGUGAUGAAGGCCCUAGGGUUGUAAAGCUCUUUUGUGCGGGAAGAUAAUGACGGUACCGCAAGAAUAAGGCCCCGGCUAACUUCGUGCCAGCAGCCGC